GACGAACGCUGGCGGCGUGCCUAAUACAUGCAAGUCGAACGCAGUCGGGACGGGUGAGUAACACGUGGGUAACCUCCCAUCAGAGGGGAUAACACUUGGAAACAGGUGCUAAACCGAUACUGAUGGAUGGACCCGCGGUUCAUUAGCUAGUUGGUGAGUUAACGGCUCACCAAGGCCACGAGGCAUAGCGGACCGGGGAGGGUGAUCGGCCAAAUUGGGACUGAGAAACGGCCCAGACGCCUACGGGAGGCAGCAGGAGGGAAUCUUCGGCAAUGGAGGAAAGUCUGACCGAGAAACGCCGCGUGAGGGAAGAAGGUUUUGGGAUCGUAAAAGUCUGUUGUUAGAGAAACGGGAUCUAACCAGAAAGCCACGGCUAACUACGUGCCAGCCGCCGCGGUAAUAC
rnacentral:rRNA from 1 species